rnacentral:rRNA from 1 species
AAAUAGAUACCCGGGUAGUCCACGCCGUAAACGAUGAGUGCUAAGUGUUAGGGGGUUUCCGCCCCUUAGUGCUGCAGCUAACGCAUUAAGCACUCCGCCUGGGGAGUACGGCCGCAAGGCUGAAACUCAAAGGAAUUGACGGGGGCCCGCACAAGCGGUGGAGCAUGUGGUUUAAUUCGAAGCAACGCGAAGAACCUUACCAGGUCUUGACAUCUCCUGACCCCCCUGGAGACAGGGUCUUCCCUUCGGGGACAGGAUGACAGGUGGUGCAUGGUUGUCGUCAGCUCGUGUCGUGAGAUGUUGGGUUAAGUCCCGCAACGAGCGCAACCCUUGUCCUUAGUUGCCAGCAUUCAGUUGGGCACUCUAAGGAGACUGCCGGCUAAAAGUCGGAGGAAGGUGGGGAUGACGUCAAAUCAUCAUGCCCCUUAUGACCUGGGCUACACACGUGCUACAAUGGGCGGUACAGAGGGUCGCGAACCCGCGAGGGGGAGCCAAUCCCAAAAAACCGCUCUCAGUUCGGAUUGCAGGCUGCAACUCG